GGUGGAGCCGGUGGCCCGAGGGGGUAGUAGGUGAGUGAUGGGGUGACGCAGGAAGGUAGUCCAGCCCGGGUGGUGGUUAUUCCCGGGGUAAGGGUGUGGCCCGAGUGGCAGGUAAAUCCGCCGCUCAUUGAAGGGUGAGGCCUGAUGCCGAGCCGAUUGUGGUGAAGUGGAUGAUCCUAUGCUGUCGAGAAAAGCCUCUAGCGAUGUUUCAUGGUGGCCCGUACCCUAAACCGACUCUGGUGGUCAGGUAGAGUAUAC
rnacentral:rRNA from 1 species